rnacentral:rRNA from 1 species
UACGUAGGGUGCAAGCGUUAAUCGGAAUUACUGGGCGUAAAGCGUGCGCAGGCGGUUUUUUAAGCCAGAUGUGAAAUCCCCGGGCUCAACCUGGGAACUGCAUUUGGGACUGGAAGGCUAGAGUAUGGCAGAGGGGGGUGGAAUUCCACGUGUAGCAGUGAAAUGCGUAGAUAUGUGGAGGAAUACCGAUGGCGAAGGCAGCCCCUGGGAUAACACUCGACGCUCAUGCACGAAAGCGUGGGGAGCAAACAGG